AGCAGCCGCGGUAAUUCCAGCUCCAAUAGCGUAUAUUAAAGUUGUUGCAGUUAAAAAGCUCGUAGUUGAAUUUUGGGCCUGGCCGGGCGGUCCGCCCUCUGGGUGAGCACUGUUCCGACGCCGGGCCUAUCCUUCUGGUGAGUCGGCAUGUCCUUUGUUGGGUGUGUCGGGGAACCAGGACCAUUACCUUGAAAAAAAUUAGAGUGUUCAAAGCAGGCGUAUGCUCGGAUACAUUAGCAUGGAAUAAUGAAAUAGGACGCGUGGUGCUAUUUUGUUGGUUUCUAGAACCGCCGUAAUGAUUAAUAGGGAUAGUUGGGGGCAUUAGUAUUCAGUUGUCAGAGGUGAAAUUCUUGGAUUUAUUGAAGACUAACUUCUGCGAAAGCAUUUGCCAAGGAUGUUUUCAUUAAUCAAGAACGAAAGUUAGGGAUCGAAGACGAUCAGAUACCGUCGUAGUCUUAACCAUAAACUAUGCCGACUAGAAUCGGGCGAUGUUAUUCUCAUGACUCGCCCGGCGCCUUAACCGGG
rnacentral:rRNA from 1 species